GAUGAACGCUGGCGGCGUGCCUAAUACAUGCAAGUCGAGCGAACAGACGAGGAGCUUGCUCCUUCGACGUUAGCGGCGGACGGGUGAGUAACACGUAGGUAACCUACCUAUAAGACUGGGAUAACUUCGGGAAACCGGAGCUAAUACCGGAUAAUAUUUCGAACCGCAUGGUUCGAUAGUGAAAGAUGGCUUUGCUAUCACUUAUAGAUGGACCUGCGCCGUAUUAGCUAGUUGGUAGGUAACGGCUUACCAAGGCAACGAUACGUAGCCGACCUGAGAGGGUGAUCGGCCACACUGGAACUGAGACACGGUCCAGACUCCUACGGGAGGCAGCAGUAGGGAAUCUUCCGCAAUGGGCGAAAGCCUGACGGAGCAACGCCGCGUGAGUGAUGAAGGUCUUCGGAUCGUAAAACUCUGUUAUUAGGGAAGAACAAACGUGUAAGUAACUGUGCACGUCUUGACGGUACCUAAUCAGAAAGCCACGGCUAACUACGUG
rnacentral:rRNA from 1 species